UACGAAGGGGGCUAGCGUUGCUCGGAAUCACUGGGCGUAAAGGGUGCGUAGGCGGCGCGGUAAGUCGGGUGUGAAAAUCUCGGGGCUUACUCCGAAACUGCAUUCGAUACUGCCGUGCUUGAGGACUGGAGAGGAGACUGGAAUUCUCGGUGUAGCGGUGAAAUGCGUAGAUAUCGAGAGGAACACCUGCGGCGAAGGCGGGUAGCUGGGCCGACACUGACGCUGAUGCGCGAAAGCGUGGGGAGCAAACAGG
rnacentral:rRNA from 1 species